GAUGAACGCUGGCGGCGUGCUUAACACAUGCAAGUCGAGCGAAGCACUUGCCAUUGACUCUUCGGAAGAUUUGGCAUUUGACUGAGCGGGCGAGGGUGAGGUACGCGUGGUAACCGUGCUCAUACAGGGGAAUAACAGUUGGAAACGGCUGCUAAUACCGCAUAACGUCAUUUUGCCGCAUGACAGAGCGACCAAAGAUUUAUCGCUGAGAGAUGGGCUCGCGUCCGAUUAGGUAGAUGGUGGGGUAACGGCCUACCAUGCCGACGAUCGGUAGCCCGGACUGGGAGGUUGGUCGGCCACAUUGGGACUGAGACACGGCCCAG
rnacentral:rRNA from 1 species